AUGCCUAUAGGAUCCGAUAAUGACGCAUUCGAGGAUGACGAGGAAGCUAGCAUGACGUCUUUUAUAUCUGGCGAGGUUGAUCCAUUAGACUGUGUGUACACAAACAUACCAGACCACACCCACAUCCUGAAGCUCGACACAAACUGCAAACACUGCAAGGCCAUAAAGUUUGUUUCUGAGACUGACGGAUUCUGCUGUCGCAAUGGACAGAUCGAGCUUAAACAAUCGGAACCAAUCCCAGAGCUUAUGAGGCUAUGGUCCAGCAUGGAUGCAGAUUCCAGACAUUUUCGUGAGAACAUACGGUUCUUCAAUUGGCAUUUCGCCUUCACAACCCUUGGCGUCAGCCUUGAUGAGAACUACACGAACAUGAAGUCUGGGGUAUACACAUUCCGGGUACACGGAACCAUCUAU
rnacentral:rRNA from 1 species